CCUUAUGGCUGAUACAGAUCUUAUCUAGUGUCCCGGAACUAACAAGCAUCUUUAUCUAUUUACUCACAUUCACAGUUGGGGCUAGGGGAGUUUUAUGGUUACGGAGUUAUGCAGUCCCACACUGGGGCUGAAGCGCCCGCCUCAGAACCGGCGGACUGGAUGGCAAUGGCUCAGGCUUACAGGCAGAGUCUGACCAAAGAUUCAAUAGGCAGCUGCCGUUUGCUGAGAGGAAAAACAUGGCCAUGGACGGACCCCUUACCCCAGUUAUUUAUUUGCCGUUGAAAGCCUGGAGAAUCGGCCUGUUCCGAAGAGCACUGAGACCUGUCUGAAGUCAGAAAGCAAGCCAGUGGCAGGGCUGACUCGGCCUAGGACCAGCUCAGGAAAAGGGCAGCUGGGAGCGGGAGAGGAGUUCACCCCGCCGCGGCAGAGGCCCCGAAGGUCACCACACCACGUGCAGAUUCAGACUCCCAAGAGACCUAGAUUUUGUCAGAGAAUUCUGCCGUGGCAUCCUGAGACAAGGAUGAAGACCCAGGGUGGGGGCACUGGAGCCCCAAACUCUCCUUCAGAACAGCUUUGCUUUUCAUGUUUUAUACAUUGGAAUUCACCCAAAGAUACUAUUUGCACAAAGAGAUAUCCUACUAAAAAUGUUUGAAAACCCACUGGACUGCUGUGUCUUAAUUUAAUUUCCUUCUCACUCUAAAAUUUGGAUCUUAGAGUGUCAGGGCAUUUGCAACUCCCUGUCUUUGCUUGGCGCUGGCAGAGGUGUGUCAUAGAGAUGAGGCUGUGGAUCUGUCUCACCUGUCUUCCUGAAGACCAUUUCUACAACUGCGGAGCUGCCGCAUGUGUACAAGGUCUGAAUCCACGGAAUCAGAGCUGAGAAGCUGACAGCUCUUGGGGCAAGUUCCGCAUGCUCUGAUUGCCUCCUCGAAGCACAGCAUGAAGGCCAGCAGCUUCUCCCUGGGCCUCCGUGAGGGUCCUCGCUGGGUAUCUUGUGGAAACAUUCAAUGCCCAGCAUCACUGGUGGCAUCAGAAAUGCCCAGGAAAUGAAGUUCUUGAAAGCUUAUAUCCAAGACCCCCAAGGACAACGCAAAGCGAAUGUGUUCCUUUUGAGGAGGGCAUGUUGAAGCAGCAAGCUACAAGUAUUUUAUUAAAAUCUCACAGAUUAUAUUAAAAACUGGGAAAAAACCCAUGAAUGUAACUGUAUUUUUCAUAUUUUGAAAUCAUAUAUUCUUUGUGUUCAGUGGCUCUAUGUACCACAAUAUUUGGCUUCUUUUUCUAGCACCACACUAUUAAUUUGAAGAGUUAGUCUAUGCAGAACUCCAUUAUGUCAAAAACUCCAUUUUUGUCAACUACAUGUGAGAUAAGACCUUUUUUGUCCUUGAACUCUUGAGCUCAAGUGAUCCUCCUGCCUCAGCCCCCUGACUAACUGCCAUCAUGCCUGAUGUAAGUUGACUGUACCUGCCCAGCUGGCCUCAUGAAUGGAUGCCUUCUUCAUGGGAUAAGAGUUCUAUCCCUGAACUUCAGCUUGGUCUCUGGGGCUCUGGGAUGCUCCAACAGACUUCUCUGCUGAUCUUUUUUUUUUGGUACCAG
ensembl:lncRNA